CCUACGGGAGGCUGCAGUGAGGAAUAUUGGUCAAUGGACGAGAGUCUGAACCAGCCAAGUAGCGUGAAGGAUGACUGCCCUAUGGGUUGUAAACUUCUUUUAUAUGGGAAUAAAACAGGGUAUGCAUACCCUCUUUUAUGUACCAUAUGAAUAAGGAUCGGCUAACUCCGUGCCAGCAGCCGCGGUAAUACGGAGGAUCCGAGCGUUAUCCGAAUUUAUUGGGUUUAAAGGGAGCGUAGGUGGAUUGUUAAGUCAGUUGUGAAAGUUUGCGGCUCAACCGUAAAAUUGCAGUUGAAACUGGCAGUCUUGAGUACAGUAGAGGUGGGCGGAAUUCGUGGUGUAGCGGUGAAAUGCUUAGAUAUCACGAAGAACUCCGAUUGCGAAGGCAGCUCACUGGACUGCAACUGACACUGAUGCUCGAAAGUGUGGGUAUCAAACAGGAUUAGAUACCCUAGUAGUC
rnacentral:rRNA from 1 species